UUCGCCGAUAGUCAAGCAGUCUAUCAGUUUUUGACUGCUGGAAUAUAAACGACUGCAAUAAUGUACCGUAAAUCUAUACGGGUGCUCUUCGACUGCUUGUCGAAGUCCUUUUUGCCCCAGCCGAUAGGUCUCUUGACGUUACAGAGAACCCCGUACAACCCAAACUGUUAACCUUCAAUACUGCUUUGUACUUACGAUCUCGUAUCCACUGACUGUCUUAUUAGAUUAACCCAGUAAAUUUCAUUCACUCCGCAUACUCAAUCCUAUAGACACCCUUUUAAUCCUUCAAUCACAGACGUAACUCGAUUUCACAAAACACUCAAGAGUAUUCAAACCCACUUCAUUUAAAAAUCUCGAUUCACCAUUACAAUACUGACUUCAGCAGCGAUUGCCUCAGUCU
rnacentral:lncRNA from 1 species